GAGGGGUGCAAACGUUUAUUCGGAUUUACUGGGUGUAAAGGGUGUGUAGACGGAUUGUUAAGUUCGUUGUUAAAUCUUCCGGCCCAACCGGAAGCUCGCGAUGAAAACUGGCAGUCUUGAGGAUGGAAGAGAGAAGUGGAAUUCUCGGAGUAGCGGUAAAAUGCGUAGAUCUCGAGAGGAACACCGAUGGCGAAGGCAGCUUCUUGGUCCAUCCCUGACGUUGAAACACGAAAGCGUGGGGAGCAAACAGGAUUAGAUACCCUGGGUAGUCCACGCUGUAAACGAUGAUCACUAGAUGUUGGCCUUGUUUUGCAAGGUUAGUAUCGAAGCUAACGCGUUAAGUGAUCCACCUGGGAACUACGAUCGCAAGAUUA
rnacentral:rRNA from 1 species